CUGCCUCUGAUUGGCUUCACCCUAGCAAGGGGAAGGAUUUAUGGCCAUAGUGGCAAGCACCUCUUUUGGGUGCUCAUUACCUAGUUGAUAGCACCUGAGCAGGAGAAGUAACUGCAGACCUUGAUACUGGUUGGUCUAGAGGGAGAACUGCAAAGGAUCUCUGCUUCCCUUUAAACAGAAGGUGUGGACAAUUGUCUGUGCUCCAAACCAGCUGGAUACAAGCCACUUCUUGUUCAAAAGCCAUGUGGAAGAAUUACUGGACUAUGAGCUGAAGCUACUCUGUCCUGCCUCUUAGUUCCAUUAAGGUUUCAGCAGAGUAACCUGCAACCUGUAACUUCAGAGGGAACGGGGAGUUAUAACUUUCUUUGAAAAAGAGAUUAUUUUAAGUCCU